AAUCAAGACAAAAAAAAAACCAAAACGAAAUAAGAAAAAAAAUGAACAAACCAGGGAUGUGGAGGUGACGCUUCAGUGAGUCGAAGGCAGGACCUGGAGCGGGAUGCAAAGAGCGCUGACCAACUCAACCACGUCCACACUUGCGUCAAAUAUGAGCAACAGCUACAAUAUAACCUGGUCUAGCUGCUGCAUCUGUCAUUUGAAAAAAAAUAUUGGAUUCCCUUCUCCUAGCCCGAGCCCAGAAGGCUCUCUUCUGUCCAUUCCCAGCUCAGACUGUAAAUCACAAAAGACACUUUUUUUUUAUUUCACUCAGUUUCAACCCAUCCAUUUCCACCCUCUCCCCUUGUCAUCUAUAGCAAGAACUCAAGAGCCUUGGCUAUCUUUCAGAGCAGAGUCGUGUGGGUUCAUCUGUGUGAGGGUGCCAAAUCCAGAAAACCCUCAACAAAAUCAAAAUCACCAUCCGCUGCGGCUUCGUCGAAGAGACAAUCGGAUGCUCACCGAGAUCCGUCCCAACUUUGACCCCAACGACUCAGAUGAGCUGACCCAGACGGAGUUCAACCCCAACACCACAUACACUCGUAGUUCCUGAGCUUGGUUAAUGACUUCGUUGCCUUGUUCUGAGAUACUCAUCCCCGUCUGUUGGUGGAUUUCAGCAAGCAAGUCAAUCUUCAAGUUGGGAGCAGACAUGUUGGGAGAACCUACUGAUAACUCAAAAAUGCCCCUUUUCUGUGAAUGUUCUGCUGUCCAUUGCUGAGAUUCUGUAGCCAUCAUAUCAAACAGUUCAAAUGCCUCUCUUGCAGAUUUAUUUGACAAUGAUCCUCCAGCUGAUGCAUUCACAUGGCUCUUAGAUGUAGGAUUAAGCCCAUCAAAGAAAAUAUUCAUUUGUGUAUCUGAAUCAAUUUUGACAUGUGGACACUUUAUGUACAUCUCUGUAUAUCUCUCCCACGCUUCAUGAAACUCUUCAUUGGGCUUCUGUGUGAAUGUCAAAAUCUCCCUCUUGUAAUUCAAUGUCUUGGAUGCUGGAUAAUAUUUGUUCAGGAAUUUUGUGUGUAACUGCUGCCAA